rnacentral:rRNA from 1 species
GACGAACGCUGGCGGCGUGCUUAACACAUGCAAGUCGAGCGGUAAGGCCCUUUCGGGGGUACGACGAGCGGCGAACGGGUAAGUAACACGUGGGUGACCUGCCUCUAGCUCUGGGAUAAGCCUGGGAAGCUGGGUCUAAUACCGGAUAUGACCUCGCGGUGCAUGUUGCGGGGUGGAAAGCCUUGUGCGGCUAGGGAUGGGCCCGCGGCCUAUCAGCUUGUUGGUGGGGUGANGGCCUACCAAGGCGACGACGGGUAGCCGGCCUGAGAGGGCGACCGGCCACACUGGGACUGAGACACGGCCCAGACUCCUACGGGAGGCAGCAGUGGGGAAUCUUGCGCAAUGGGCGAAAGCCUGACGCAGCGACGCCGCGUGAGGGAUGACGGCCU